AGUAAGGCCAACCUCCAUGCACCAUUUUCUUGUCUGUAGCCAUGUCUGUGGGCUGUGGAGUUGGCCACCUGGGUGAGGGCCUGCU
rnacentral:pre_miRNA from 1 species